CGACUCUGGUUUCUCUUCAUUACGCACAAGCCUUUCGCCUUUUACUAAAGACUUCCGUGGAGAGGAACACUUACGAGUUCAACAUAUUUUUGGAAGGGCUUUGCUUCUGACAGAGCC
rnacentral:snRNA from 1 species